AUAGUUUUCAAGACACCGUUAUGGUGGGUAAACAGCCAUUUUACGGCAUGUGCUCCAUGGAUGUCCACAUCAUGCCAGGAAAACCAUACUCUUUGUCUCCAAAUUUGAAAGCUAGUCAUCCAGAGCAGGUGGCCAGUCAACAUCUACAGACUAGAAGGGAGAAAAGAAGUCAUUAAAACAGAUAUUACUGUUGUGGUAAGCAUUUGCUGGUAAUGCUGUAUAAAUUUAAUAGUUUUAAUAUAGUGCAACAGAAGAAACUGCAUUUGAAGAAAAGAGCUAUUGAAUACCAUAAAUUAACCCUCAAGUCUGUUCUAGGUAUUCUUGGGCCUGAGGUCUUCUGAAUUAAUUGAGUAGCAGUAUUUGGCUACUCAGUUGGUUAUUAACUGUGCUUUUUGACUGAUAAGAGAAUACAUUUAAAUUUUUUAAAUGGUAUUUAUGGGGCCAGGUGUGGUGGCUCACACCUUUAAUCCCAGCACUUUGGGAGGCCGAUCAAUUAUAUAGAUCAACAUGAUCAAGGUGGGCAGACCACUCAAAGUCAAGAGUUCAAGACCAGCCUGGCCAACAUGGCAAAACCCCGUCUCCACUAAAAAUGCAAAAUUUAGCCAAGCAUGGUGGCACACGCCUGUAGUCCUAGCUACUCAGGAAGCUGAGGCAGGAGAACAGCUUGAGCCCAGGAGGCAGAGGUUGCAGUGAGCCGAAAUCACGCCACAGCACUCCAGCCUGGGUGACAGAAUGAGACCCUAUCUAUCUCAGAAAAAAAAAAAAAAAAAAAAGUAUUUAUGGGUAAAAGUAGCAAACAAAUUCAAGUGACCACCAAUUUUCCCUCAGAAGUCUCAGAAACUUUUAUUCUUCUGAUCAUUUUUAUUCUCUCAUCUUGCAUUUAACAAAUAUUCAAGUAGUCUAUAAGCCUAUAGUCUUGUUGUAACACAGCAACAAAAUGUGAAAUAAAUGAUUAUGAAAGAUGACCUGGAACCAGAAAAGGAUUAAGGAUCUUUGUGCUUCAGUUCUGUAGAAUUUCUGUUUCUUUAAAAUCCAGUUCAUCUAUCUCUACUUACCUUUAUUUUGUUCUUCUAGGACAAAACCUUGAUCUUUGAGUCAGAAUGAAAUUACAGUAAACAGACUAUUUGUCUCCACAUAAACACAUACCAGGUCUAUCAAAGGCUAGGGGAUCUACUUUAAGAGAAAGUUAAAAAAAAAAAAAAACCCACCGUAUCUAUCUGUGGCUUUUAUUGACAUUUAAAGUUUAAAACAUAAAAUUAUUUACUGAAAAUUUUUUCAUUAAUCCAUGAGUCACUUCACGUACUGGCUUCAAAAAAAAUUUAUUAGAAAAGCCUAAAUAGCUAUGUGUGUGUGUGUCUUUUACAAAUCUCAAGAAGAUAUUUUUGUUCUGUUUCAGAAUAUAGCCAUAUACCAAACACCCAAAUGUAAAUUAAUGAGUGUUUUCUCAAGCUGAAAAUAAAACAUGACUGAUCACAAUCUUGUGUGUGUGUGUGUGUGUGUGUGUGUGUGUGGAGGGGAGGCAAGUUGUAGUGCUUAAAAAGCUCCACAAGUGAUUCCAGUGGGCAGUCAGUGUUGAGAAACACUGGCCUGUGAGUCUUUGACACUCCUAACUGUUCUGAGAAUUAAAGUAAAAAAAGAUUAAUGCAAGCCUGGGCAACACGGUGAGACCCCAUCUCAACAACAACAACAACAAAAAAACGCCAGGCAUAGUGGCUCAUGCCUGUGGUCCCAGCUACUCGGGAGACUGAGGCAGGGGAUCGCUUGAGCCCGAGAGGUCAGGGUUGCAGUGACCCGUGAUCGCACCACUGCACUCCAGCCUGGGUGACAGUGCAAGACCCUGUCUCAAAAAAAAAAAAAGAUGAUGAGUAGAGAUUUUCUUUAACAGAAGGUUUUCUUCCUCCAAAUGAUAGUUUCACUGAAGAGGCUCCCUGCAACCUUGAGGGCACGAUCACUGGCUGUACUGCAGGAGCUAAUCUAAUCCCAGAGCACUUGAGAGAAUUGCUGGCUGCAUGCUGUGGCUCGUGCCUGUAAUCCCACCACUUUGGGAGGCCGAGG
rnacentral:lncRNA from 10 species